UCCCUGGGAGUCCAGUGUUAGGACUCUGAGCUCCCAUUGCAGUGCGCCUGGGUUCGAUUCCUGAUCAGGGAG
rnacentral:tRNA from 1 species